GACGGAGGAUGCAAGCGUUAUCCGGAAUGAUUGGGCGUAAAGCGUCCGCAGGUGGCAGUUCAAGUCUGCUGUCAAAGACCGGGGCUUAACUUCGGAAAGGCAGUGGAAACUGAACAGCUAGAGUAUGGUAGGGGCAGAGGGAAUUCCUGGUGUAGCGGUGAAAUGCGUAGAGAUCAGGAAGAACACCGGUGGCGAAGGCGGUGGUCUGGGCCAUUACUGACGCUGAGGAGCGAAAGCCAGGGGAGCGAACGGG
rnacentral:rRNA from 1 species